GGCUUGGUCCUGACUUUAUUAUCAACUAUGGCCAUAUUUAUACAUGCAAGUAUCCGCGCCCCCGUGAGAAUGCCCUUUAACACCUGAUCGGAAAAAAGGAGCUGAUAUCAGGCACAUCUUAAUGAUAGCCCAAGACGUCUUGCUUAGCCACACCCCCAAGGGACUUCAGCAGUAAUAAAUAUUAAGCAAUAAGUGCAAACUUGACUUAGUUAAGGCCAAGAGGGUCGGUAAAACUCGUGCCAGCCACCGCGGUUAUACGAGAGACUCAAGUUGAUAACCCAUCGGCGUAAAGGGUGGUUAAAUUAUACAACAUUAAUAAAGUUAAAUGCUCGCAAGACUGUUACACGUUUCCGCGGGUAAGAAGCCCAACCACGAAAGUGACUUUAUAUUAUUGACACCACUAAAGCUGUGAAACAAACUGGGAUUAGAUACCCCACUAUGCUCAGCCGUAAACAACGAUAGCCCCUGCACUUGCUACCCGCCCGGGAACUACGAGCCCCAGCUUGAAACCCAAAGGACUUGGCGGUGCUUAAGAUCCACCUAGAGGAGCCUGUUCUAUAACCGAUAACCCCCGUUCCACCUCACCUUUUCUUGUUUUUACCGUCUAUAUACCGCCGUCGUCAGCCCACCCUGUGAAGGACUCAUAGUAAGCACAAUUGGCACAACCCAAAACGUCAGGUCGAGGUGUAGCGAAUGAAAAGGAAAGAAAUGGGCUACAUUCUCUACUCAAGAGCACACGAAAUAGGAAUUGAAAAAUCUCUUAGAAGGAGGAUUUAGUAGUAAGGAGUGAAUAGAGCGCACCCCUGAAAUUGGCCCUAAAGCGCGCACACACCGCCCGUCACUCUCUCCAAGCUCCAUUAACCCAUCGCUAAUAAAAAUAAUAGGCUAAGGGGAGACAAGUCGUAACAUGGUAAGCGUACCGGAAGGUGCGCUUGGCAGAAC
rnacentral:ncRNA from 1 species